rnacentral:rRNA from 1 species
UACGGGGGGCGCAAGCGUUAUUCGGAUUUAUUGGGCGUAAAGGGCGUGUAGGCGGUUGAGUCAGUCUGGUGUGAAAACGCUAUUGCUUAACAAAGCGAUUGCAUUGGAUACUGCUCAACUUGAGGAUGCGAGAGGCAAGCGGAAUACCUGGUGUAGCGGUGGAAUGCGUAGAUAUCAGGUAGAACAUCGGUGGCGAAGGCGGCUUGCUGGCGCAUAUCUGACGCUGAGGCGCGAAAGCGUGGGGAGCGAA